rnacentral:rRNA from 1 species
UAGCCAUGCCGCGUGAGUGAUGAAGGCCUUAGGGUCGUAAAGCUCUUUCGCCUGUGAUGAUAAUGACAGUAGCAGGUAAAGAAACCCCGGCUAACUCCGUGCCAGCAGCCGCGGUAAUACGGAGGGGGUUAGCGUUGUUCGGAAUUACUGGGCGUAAAGCGCGCGUAGGCGGAUUAGAAAGUUGGGGGUGAAAUCCCGGGGCUCAACCCCGGAACUGCCUCCAAAACUGCUAGUCUAGAGUUCGAGAGAGGUGAGUGGAAUUCCGAGUGUAGAGGUGAAAUUCGUAGAUAUUCGGAGGAACACCAGUGGCGAAGGCGGCUCACUGGCUCGAUACUGACGCUGAGGUGCGAAAGUGUGGGGAGCAAACAGGAUUAGAUACCCUGGUAGUCCACACCGUAAACGAUGAAUGCCAGUCGUCGGAUAGUAUACUAUUCGGUGACACACCUAACGGAUUAAGCAUUCCGCCUGGGGAGUACGGUCGCAAGAUUAAAACUCAAAGGAAUUGACGGGG